rnacentral:rRNA from 1 species
GACCCGAAAGAUGGUGAACUAUGCUUGAGUAGGGUGAAGCCAGGGGAAACUCUUGUGGAAGCCCGAAGCGAUACUGACGUGCAAAUCGUUCGUCAAACUUGAGUAUAGGUGGCGAAAGACUAAUCGAACCAUCUAGUAGCUGGUUCCCUCCGAAGUUUCCCUCAGGAUAGCUGGAGCAGAACAGUUUUAUCAGGUAAAGCGAAUGAUUCGAGGCAUUGGGGGUAUGUUACCCUUGACCCACUCUCAAACUUUUAAUGGGUAAGCUCCACUGGUUGCUUAGGUGACGCAGGGGGAGGAAUAACAGCUCUACGUGGGCCAUUUUUGGUAAGCA